rnacentral:rRNA from 1 species
GGAAUAUUGGUCAAUGGACGCAAGUCUGAACCAGCCAUGCCGCGUGAGUGAAGAAGGCCUUCGGGUUGUAAAGCUCUUUCACCAGGGACGAAGCGCAAGUGACGGUACCUGGAGAAGAAGCACCGGCCAACUACGUGCCAGCAGCCGCGGUAAUACGUAGGGUGCGAGCGUUGUCCGGAAUUACUGGGCGUAAAGAGCUCGUAGGUGGUUUGUCGCGUUGUUCGUGAAAUCUCACGGCUUAACUGG